UAGUGCAAUCAAUGUUUACAUUAUACAACACAAAUAAACAACUUUGAAAACAAAAUUACAUUGAGAAUACACACUUACAUAUUGAAAACAAGUUGACAUUUCACAAAACACAUUAACAAAUGUAAAAACAACUCUACAAAACACAUAGGGCAACUGACAUUAACAAGUUUGAAAACAAAAUUACAUUUGCAUUACACACUUUCAUCUUUAAAAAACGAAUUACUAUUUCAUAAAACACAUUAAUAAAUGUACAACAAACAAAACAAAAAACAAAUCUAAAAUACAUUACAAAUAAUCUAAAAUACAUUUCAAUGAUCUGACAAAAAAAAACCUUUGAUACAAAUCACAUUAACAAGUUUGGAAACAAAAUUAGCCUACAUUUACAAUAUCUUACUUGAAAAAAAAAAAAAACAUUUCAUUAAACACAUUUGCAAAUGUGAAAGCAAAUGAACAAAACACAAAAGCAAACUGCGAGACACAUUUACAUUUCACGAAACACAAAGCAAAUUAACAAAACACAAAACACAAAAGCAAACUGCGAGACACAUUUACAUUUCACGAAACACAAACGCAAACUCCAAAAACACAUUACAUUAACGAAAUUUCUUACGGAAGUAAGAAAUUUCUUACGGAAGUGAGAAAUUUCUUACGGAAGUGGUGUAGGUGCCCAACGCGUUCCUCCUGCCUGAUCCGUUCCCUAAUGGGGCGUCAGGAAAGCGGACGUGACGAAACAGGAAAUAGUGAGGAAUAAUUACAUACUUUCAGCGAGUGGAUGAGACGGUCGAUGCGGCGAGUGAAGAGCAUUCAUUUUUUAGCAUUUAUUUGAUCGUUCUGAGAAAAAGUGUCCGGUAACAUACACACACAUGUAUUGCCCGUCUUGUGGCCUUUGCUUCAUUCGCCUUAUUCACCCGGAACGUUCUAAAGACGUUGAGGGGUACACUUCAGGGGUACAUUCGGCAACGCACCAGCUGUCAUAGCGCCUCACUGUUGUGUGCCCAAAUGUUCGUCCUCAAAGAGAAAAAAUCCUACCGUGGACAGACUUUCCACCGUUUCCACAAAGAGCAGGCACUUCGCCGUGAAUGUAUAAAUCAAAUCAAGAGGGAUCCUGGUCCAUAUUUCAAGAUCAACGCUGAGACCAAAGUUUGCUCUGAGCACUUUGAGAAGCAGUGUUUUGUAAAGACCGCCUGUGGUAUCACAAAGCUUAUAAAGGAUGCUGUGCCUUCUGAGCUCUAGGAAGAGCAUUACUCAGCUGGAGCUUUCCCAUGGCCAAGAGAUGAACGCUAAACUUGAUAGUUUUUUUUCCUCCUCCUUCCUGCCUGCACUGUACAAAAAG